UCCCUGGUGGUCCAGAGGUUAGGACUUUGUGCUUCCAUUGCAAGGGUAACGGGUUCAAUCCCUGGUCAUGGAA
rnacentral:tRNA from 1 species